rnacentral:rRNA from 1 species
UAUUGGUCAAUGGACGCGAGUCUGAACCAGCCAAGUAGCGUGAAGGAUGACUGCCCUAUGGGUUGUAAACUUCUUUUAUAUGGGAAUAAAGUUUUCCACGUGUGGAAUUUUGUAUGUACCAUAUGAAUAAGGAUCGGCUAACUCCGUGCCAGCAGCCGCGGUAAUACGGGGGAUGCAAGCGUUAUCCGGAUUUAUUGGGUUUAAAGGGUGCGUAGGCUGUGAGGUAAGUCAGCGGUGAAAUGCCCCCGCUCAACGGGGUGAAGUGCCAUUGAUACUGCCUUGCUGGAAUGCGGAUGCCGUGGGAGGAAUGUGUGGUGUAGCGGUGAAAUGCAUAGAUAUCACGAAGAACUCCGAUUGCGAAGGCAGCUCACUGGACUGGUCACUGACACUGAGGCUCGAAAGUGUGGGUAUCAAAC